AGCUGGGUUUAAUUGCUGAGCUAUGCUAAUGAGCCUUGUUUGUGACACAAGGUGCUUCGUGGUGGCUCUGUUUGAAAACAUGGAAUUGUAACUCCCCCCGAGGGCACAUACAAUCAGCUUAAAAACACUGCCGUCUGGAUACAGAAAAGAAAUCAUGUAACGGUCCCUUCAGCAUGGCACAUUAUCAAAGGCAUCAUUAACAGCUGCUUCAUGGAAUGGCAGGAGGCUCUCCUGGACUUUCUCAUCUCACUAGCAUUCCUCCACACCAAAACAAUGGCCACAAUUGAGGUGACUGUCUAUCUAAAACCACCUGGGUUCUGUAUGCUGUGAUGUGUCCAUGUGGAACGGCCCAACAUCCCUAGAGUUGGUUGCACGUCUCAGUAG
ensembl:lncRNA